GCUAAUUUUCACGAUUGAGAAUUUAGAGUUGAGGGUUUCUAUUUUAGGUUUUAGUGUAUUUCUUUUUAUUAAUUUCUAAAAUCUAUUUUCCUACUUUCGGUAUAAAAUUUUGGGGCUAUUACGAGAAUGAGUAUUUUCUAACCCAAAAACUAAAAAUUGGACAUUUUUACAAUGGACUUAUGGGGAAAGGUACUUUGGUGAGUUGGGUUGACGAAAUUACCCCUGCCCUACAAUUUCACUCAAUCAAAAGCCAUCUUCUUGAGUCAUCUUCUCCGACAACUCACGGCAUCUAAAUGUUGGUUCUGAUAAACUCAAAAAAUCAAUUAAAAGUUUUUUAAUGGAAUAAUAUUAAACCCUAAGGAGAUAAUUUAUAGGGAACCCAAAGAUUUCAAUUAAAAAAAU
rnacentral:sRNA from 1 species